rnacentral:lncRNA from 1 species
AAAAAAAAAAAAUAUUAAAUAAAAUUAAAGACAAAAAAUUAUAAAAAUUUAACAGACUUAGUAAAACAAUUUUUUAUUCUACAUUUUCCAAAAAAGGUGAAAUGUCAAUUUUAAAAGAAACCCAAAUUACCUGUACAGGUAAAUUUUAAUAAAACAUACCAGCUGAAAACUUCAGGUUGAUUUUAACAGGUAACAUAAUUAGAUAAAAAAUCAACCUAUGAUUUAUGACCCCCAAUAAAUGGCCAACAUCUCAAAAUUGAAUACCCCAA